GCAAACAUUCACCGUGCAAGGGCAACGGAACAGGGCUUUGAAGAGAUCGAAAGAGAUACGUUUUCAAAUUUGCUUUAUUUUCUUAAUUUCUGUAAUUUUUAUUAUAUAUAUUUUUUUAAAUCUUUGAUUCGAUUGCUUUGACAAUGCAAAUGCGUCUUCAAUGCCAAUAAAGACUUUUCAAUGAAAUUGACUGACAUACAUCCGGGAAUUGAAAACUCUUUUGUAAGAACUUGCGCAGUGAGAUGUUGGCAAAUUUUACACAUGCUUUAUAUAAUCUAUACCUACUUUCCUUAAAUUAGAAUUAAACUAAUUAUAUUUAAUUAAAUCAAAAGUAUUAUUACCAGUGCACUUGCUUUAUAACAAUUGCUUGAUAUAGCAAUAUUUAUAACUAACUUUCUCUGUGGUAGAAGGGAACCUGCAAUUUGAAAGCUGAAAACCGAUCUCAAAUACUCGCCCCCACCACCCAAAUCCACUUUUGUUUAUUCAAGUGAACGGUGAAGAUGGGAAAGACUUGAUAAAAAGCGUACCUGACCGUAUACCCCUCAGUCUACGAGUUAGCAGGUAGGUGAUCAGUCGAGGACAGAAGAUGCUCCCUCCUGGACAGGAUUUGCAGUCACAGUCACUCACUGUGAAAACCCAACCAAUGAGAUGCAUGAGACAAAACAUAGAGACUGUAGAACCGUUCCGAAGUUGCCAGGUGAUAUGGAGACCAUGGAUUCCCUGUCCCAGAGAAACUGGACAACUAGAAAAAACACAUCAAGGGAACGUGUCAUUAAGAACCAGACAGAUGUCCAAAGGUGCUCAUGGAUUCCAGCACCCUGUCAGGCUCCUCAUACCCAAAUCCAGGACUGAGGAAUAUCUGUCGCAUUUGGGGAAGAAGGUCUUGGCCAGUUUCCCUGUCCAAGCUGCUCUCCACUUCUACAAUGAU